CUACGGGUUGCACCAGUGAGGAAUAUUGCACAAUGGGGGAAACCCUGAUGCAGCAACGCCGCGUGGAGGAUGACGCAUUUCGGUGUGUAAACUCCUUUUAUGAGUCAAGAAAAUGACGGUAGCUCAUGAAUAAGCACCGGCUAACUCCGUGCCAGCAGCCGCGGUAAUACGGAGGGUGCAAGCGUUACUCGGAAUCACUGGGCGUAAAGGACGCGUAGGCGGGCUUGUAAGUCAGGUGUGAAAUCCUACAGCUUAACUGUGGAACUGCACUUGAAACUACGAGCCUAGAGUAUGGGAGGGGCAGAUGGAAUUAGUGGUGUAGGGGUAAAAUCCGUAGAUAUCACUAGGAAUACCGAAAGCGAAGGCGAUCUGCUGGAACAUUACUGACGCUAAGGCGUGAAAGCGUGGGGAGCAAACGGGAUUAGAUACCCCCGUAGUC
rnacentral:rRNA from 1 species